AAAAAAAAAAAAAAAAAAAUUGGGGAAAAAAAAAAAAAAAAAAAAAAAAAAAAAAAGGACCAGCAGUUUCAAGAUUAUGGAAAAGGAUGCCAGAAAUAUAUAAUAUUGCAUGUUAUUCAUGUUAGCCAAAAUAUUGCAGAUUAAAAUAAUUUUAUUAAUUACAGUAAGAACAUAAGUAAUAAAAUUGCAGGACAUAAUUAAAGAGCGAAUGAACUUUCAACCGAGGCCCGUGUAAACACAGUCUCCUUAAAACAGAUUCGACCCCCUUACCGUAGGUGUUCGAUGUUUAGUUUAAGCGUCUGUUUUCCAGAAUACAAAGAAAAACCAGUGGAGUUUGAGCACUGCAGAUACUAUUCCAGCGAACUAACUUAG
rnacentral:lncRNA from 1 species